rnacentral:rRNA from 1 species
UGCGUAGGUGGGUCUGUAAGUCCGUGGUGAAAUCUCCGAGCUUAACUUGGAAACUGCCAUGGAUACUAUAGGUCUUGAAUACCGUGGAGGUCAGCGGAAUAUGUCAUGUAGCGGUGAAAUGCUUAGAUAUGACAUAGAACACCAAUUGCGAAGGCAGCUGGCUACACGAAUAUUGACACUCAGGCACGAAAGCGUGGGGAUCAAACA